rnacentral:lncRNA from 1 species
UAAAAACUCUCUUUCUUUUGUUGUUGCAGAUAGAUCUUGACCUGAUAAGCAAUUUUACCACAUGUCAGAUUUGCUCUAAAUGCUUUGGUUUUUGAGUGAUAAGCCAAAAACUGCAUUUUACCCCUAUGUUCUAUUUUUAGCCAUGGCGGCCAUCUUGAUUGGUUGGCCGGGUCACCGGACACAAUUUUUCAACUAGAUACCCCAAUGAUGAUU